GAGUCGGACCUGCCCAGUGAGUAAUUUUCAACGGCCGCGGUACUCUGACCGUGCAAAGGUAGCAUAAUCAUUUGCCCUAUAAUUGAGGGCUAGUAUGAAUGGUUUGACGUGAACAAAGCUGUCUCUAUGUAAUUUUUUAGAACUUGAUCUUUAGGUGAAGAAACCUAAAUGACAUUGAAAGACAAGAAGACCCUAUUGAGCUUUAAAGAAAUAGGCUGAAAACAACAAUAUAAGUUUAAAUGUUAAUCUGCCUAAAAUUUUGGUUGGGGCGACUAUGGAACAAGCAAAGCUUCUUUACAACUGGAAGACUUUCAGGUUUUGAUCCAAGAAUUUUGAUUAAUGGAAUUAGUUACCAUAGGGAUAACAGCAUAAUUCUCUUUGAGAGUUCUUAUCGAAAAGAGAGUUUGUGACCUCGAUGUUGGACUAGAAUAUCCUAAAGAUGCAGCAGUCUUUAAGGGUUNGUC
rnacentral:rRNA from 1 species